GAACAGAGUACGCUUUUAGUCAUUAGACAACAGCGAUGUAGUAUGAAAAAUAUUAAGAACAUUGUAUGAAUAGUUGGAACAUAAGGAAAAUACUCUCAGACACUCACACACCCAUCUCAACAGGUAUGAAAAUUUCCUAUAAUACAUAAAUACAUACGUAUAAUACAUAAUACAUAUGUAUACGAACAUAUUUAAUAAAUAUACAAUACCCUACAUUCAUGUAUACACGAUAACGUACAAGCAAAUACGCAUAUGCAUACAUUCAUGUUUCGUAUAGAAAUAUUUAUAAAAAGUUUUCCAUGCGUAUACGUAUUGUACAUACAUAUGUAUUUUUUAGAAAGACAGAGAACUUUAAAUGUAUACAGUGGGUAUAUAAAUACAUUCAACAAAAGUUUCUCAAGAAAAAUUAGAUUUUUAUUUAUUUUUUUUUUUGUUUGAAACUGUAUUCUUUCUUUUUUACUGGCUCCCAGGCAUUCAACGUUAUUCGCGCAGACCAGAUCUGAUAUUGAAAAGUUUAUACUAUUCCGUGAUAUGUAAUCAACCAAUAAAUCAACAAAUGCGAAAUAAUAAAUAAAAUGUGAAAUG
rnacentral:lncRNA from 1 species